rnacentral:rRNA from 1 species
UACGUAGGUGGCGAGCGUUGUCCGGAUUUACUGGGCGUAAAGAGCGCGCAGGCGGUCGUGCAAGUCGCGUGUGAAAGCCCCCGGCUCAACUGGGGAGGGUCACGCGAUACUGCUCGGCUCGAAGGCAGGAGAGGGAAGUGGAAUUCCCGGUGUAGUGGUGAAAUGCGUAGAGAUCGGCAGGAAGACCCAGGGGGAAACCAGUCGGCUGGGCAUCUACUGACGCUGAGGUGCGAGAGCGUGGGGA